UAAUAAUGCUUAACUAUUACUUUUCACAGUAACGAGUAGUGCAAGGGAUUACAAUAUCCAAAACAGUAAUUAUAUUACAGUUACUAAUCCAAUUAACACUGUGUUACUGUGUUACCCGAAUGUGAUUUGUAUU